CAAAAACAAAAACAUAUAGGCUCUUCCUCUAUCCUCUUUCCAAGCUCAAAAUGAUCGGUCACAGGGGCGGCUGUCAGACGGCUCUGUCAAGUUUCAGGCGUAGACUGAUCGGAUUUAGCGCCUUGUUGAUGCUGUCUGAAGAUUUUAAGUAAAACUUAGAGCAUGUAAAAAAAAGUCUUACGUGUAAAGUAUGUUUCCUGAAGGUGAAAACUUGCGGAUCAUCCAUUCAGGGAUGAUUUCUUGCAGCAGUUUUAGCUGUUCCUCUACUUCAACUGUGAAUACAGUUUGAGUCAGUAUAAAAUGCUUAAGAGUAAAUUUCAGAUGAUGUAAAUUGGAAAAAAUAUGUGUGCUCACUUUCAUCGGUGAUGUCUAGAUGACAUUCAGUCAAGGCGUGAAUCAAUGCCUCUUUUCUAAUUGCUGAAGAUUUGGGAUUCUGAAAUAGUAUAUAUAUUCUGUCGAAGAGCUUAGGAAGUUUUUUCAUCAUCUGUUUCCUUUUUACCAUUUCUACACUUUGCUUCUCCUUUUCCUUUAGCUGCAUCAAGAAAUCAGGCAGUCAAAUGGAUGCCAAAGCCUCAAUUCCAACAAUACGAGUAGGUUAAGGAAAUAGAUUCUAGAUAUACAGAGUGUUAGAAUAUUUAACAUAUCCUGAGGCCUCAACCAUUAGCUUAAGCUAUUGGUUGAGGCCCCAAGAUAUAUUAUAUAUUCCAACACGCCCCCUCACACGAGAACCCUUUGGGCUAGAAGUGUAGAUGUAACACAGGUUCUCCUCAUACCUGGCGCUAAGUAUUCAACUUUAAGUGAGGGCUGGUUGAGAUUCAAACCUGUGACCUUUAGUCACAUUGGCUUUGAUACCAUGUCAAGGAACCAACUCAACCAAAAGUUUAAGCUAAUGGUUGAGGCCCAAUAUAUAUUAUAUAUACUAACACAGAGUAUAAAAAAGAAAUCCAGAGCAGUACCGAUUGUAAAAGAUUCUUGGGAAGAAUAUCGUUAAUAUUAGAGCAUUCAGAGUCGUCAAUGUGAAGUUCAAUGUGUACAUCUCUUGAAGGUUCAUCAAAUCGAAGUGAUCUAGCGCAAGACUGCCGAUCAAAUACUUUUUUAUCUACACUUGAACAAGAUCUCUUAGGUGUUCGCAGAAGUGGUGUGGAUGGUUUGAUUGGAGUUCCAGAAAAUUUAAUCGGUGUUGCCUGCUCGUGCUGCUCAGGACAAGUAUCAAUAUCUGCCAGAGGUUUGUGCUUCUGUUGACCAGCGGGGAGCUUACAAGGCAGAGUCUCUGGUAGAAGAGGAGUAGAUGAAUUUGAAUUCCCAUCAUUAGAUGGAUUCAAAACGGGCAUUAAUUGUUCUUGGUGCGAGGACACUAAUGGAUUCUGGAGACUCUUCCUUAAUUCGUAGUCUGAACCUCCUCUUGAAAAAUGGUUCCUGAAAGAUGGAGGAAUAUGGGAUGCUCGUGCUGUAUGUAACUCUACAGCUACACCAGAGAAAUUCUGCGUGGGAGGACGGGAACUGGAAGGUUUGGAGAUACUUAACAAUGCAUCGUGCCUUUUCUGAUUGAAUGGUUCAGGCAAUUUUUCUUCAGGGGAGUUCAUAUGGGCGAUUGUCUCAGGAUAUCAUUUGCAAUAGCAUACUUCACCAGAAAGAUAUGAGCUACUAACAUCACAAGCUGGAAUUCGUUACCUCAGGAUGAUCCCUUAGAAACUCCAAGAGCUGUGAAA